rnacentral:rRNA from 1 species
AAUAGAUACCCCGGUAGUCCACGCCGUAAACGAUGGGUGCUAGACGUUGGCGAGCUUGCUCGGUCAGUGUCGCAGCUAACGCGUUAAGCACCCCGCCUGGGGAGUACGGCCGCAAGGUUGAAACUCAAAGGAAUUGACGGGGGCCCGCACAAGCGGUGGAGCAUGUGGUUCAAUUCGACGCAACGCGCAGAACCUUACCAGCCCUUGACAUGUGACUCGCCGGCUCCAGAGACGGAGCCUUCGGUUCGGCCGGAGUCAACACAGGUGCUGCAUGGCUGCCGUCAGCUCGUGUCGUGAGAUGUUGGGUUAAGUCCCGCAACGAGCGCAACCCUCGUCUCCAGUUGCCAUCAGGUUAAGCUGGGCACUUUGGAGAAACUGCCGGUGACAAGCCGGAGGAAGGUGGGGAUGACGUCAAGUCCUCAUGGCCCUUACGGACUGGGCUACACACGUGCUACAAUGGCGGUGACAGUGGGAUGCGAAGGGGCGACCCGGAGCCGAUCCCCAAAACCGGUCCCAGUUCGGAUUGCACU